rnacentral:rRNA from 1 species
CAGUCGCCGCGGUAACACGUAGGUGGCAAGCGUUGUCCGGAAUUAUUGGGCGUAAAGCGCGCGCAGGCGGAUAGGUCAGUCUGUCUUAAAAGUUCGGGGCUUAACCCCGUGAUGGGAUGGAAACUGCCAAUCUAGAGUAUCGGAGAGGAAAGUGGAAUUCCUAGUGUAGCGGUGAAAUGCGUAGAUAUUAGGAAGAACACCAGUGGCGAAGGCGACUUUCUGGACGAAAACUGACGCUGAGGCGCGAAAGCCAGGGGAGCGAACGGGAUUAGAUACCCCAGUAGUCCCUGUCUCUUAUACA